rfam:Desulfovibrio africanus str. Walvis Bay, complete genome.
GGAAACCUGUAUUCAGCCCGGACUUCAAAUCCGGUGGACGGUCGAAAGGUCGUCGGUAGGCUCGACUCCUAUAUGCUUCC